AGGUAAUUAGUUUAACUAAAACACUUGAUUUCGGCUCAAGAACUUAUGGUGAAACCCCAUAAUAACCUU
rnacentral:tRNA from 1 species